rnacentral:rRNA from 1 species
GCCUGCCCAGUGACUACGGGUUCAACGGCCGCGGUAUAUUGACCGUGCAAAGGUAGCGCAAUCACUUGUCUUUUAAAUAGAGACCUGUAUGAAUGGCUAGACGAGGGCUUAACUGUCUCCCCCUUCCAGUCAGUGAAAUUGAUCUAUCCGUGCAGAAGCGGGUAUAAUACUACAAGACGAGAAGACCCUUUGGAGCUUAAGGUACAAAAUUCAGCCACGUUAAGCAACUCAGUAGAAAGCAAGAACUUAGUGGCCAUGAAGUUUUACCUUCGGUUGGGGCGACCACGGAGGAAAAGCAAGCCUCCGAGUGGACCGGGCCAAAAUCCCUAAAGCCAAAAGAGACAUCUUUAAGCCGCAGAACAUCUGACCAAUAAUGAUCCGGCUAAAAGGCCGAUCAACGGACCAAGUUACCCUAGGGAUAACAGCGCAAUCCUCUCCCAGAGACCAUAUCUACGAGGGGGUUUACGACCUCGAUGU